GACCAUCCUCCAAGGCUAAAUACUCCUGACUGACCGAUAGUGAACCAGUACCGUGAGGGAAAGGCGAAAAGAACCCCGGCGAGGGGAGUGAAAAAGAACCUGAAACCGUGUACGUACAAGCAGUGGGAGCACGCUUAGGCGUGUGACUGCGUACCUUUUGUAUAAUGGGUCAGCGACUUAUAUUCUGUAGCAAGGUUAACCGAAUAGGGGAGCCGAAGGGAAACCGAGUCUUAACUGGGCGUUAAGUUGCAGGGUAUAGACCCGAAACCCGGUGAUCUAGCCAUGGGCAGGUUGAAGGUUGGGUAACACUAACUGGAGGACCGAACCGACUAAUGUUGAAAAAUUAGCGGAUGACUUGUGGCUGGGGGUGAAAGGCCAAUCAAACCGGGAGAUAGCUGGUUCUCCCCGAAAGCU
rnacentral:rRNA from 1 species